rnacentral:rRNA from 1 species
AAAUGAAUAGACGGGGGCCCGCACAAGCAGUGGAGCAUGUGGUUUAAUUCGAAGCAACGCGAAGAACCUUACCAGGGCUUGACAUCCCUCUGACGGAUGUAGAGAUACAUCGUUUCUUCGGAACAGAGGAGACAGGUGGUGCAUGGUUGUCGUCAGCUCGUGUCGUGAGAUGUUGGGUUAAGUCCCGCAACGAGCGCAACCCCUAUCUUUAGUUGCCAGCAUUAAGUUGGGCACUCUAGAGAGACUGCCGGUGACAAACCGGAGGAAGGCGGGGAUGACGUCAAAUCAUCAUGCCCCUUAUGUCCUGGGCUACACACGUGCUACAAUGGAUGGUACAGAGGGAAGCGAAGCCGCGAGGUGAAGCGAAUCCCUUAAAGCCAUUCACAGUUCGGAUUGCAGGCUGCAACUCGCCUGUAUGAAGCUGGAAUUGCUAGUAAUCGCGGAUCAGAAUGCCGCGGUGAAUACGUUCCCGGGCCUUGUACACACCGCCCGU